rnacentral:lncRNA from 1 species
GCCAACUAUACCUAAAAGAAUAUUAAUUGGAUCUUGCUACCUUUUUGGUGAAAAAAAAAUCACAUUCCACAAAUUCUUUAACUUUUUCAUCAAAUUUAUUCAAUAUGGAAUACCACCUAAUUUCAGAAGCCAGAUUGGUUUCUAUCUCAAUUUAAUUCUGAUAAAACUGAAAGUAUUCAUAUAAUUUUUCAACUGAUAUAAGCCUUCUUAUAUUUUAUCAUUUAACUAAUUGAUGGUCCCUCCAUUUAGCUUUUCUUGAAAGAAUGAGAGAAAAAAUAUGAUGAAUGCACCUGUGAAUUUUAGUAAAAGGAAAAAGAAAAGAGUGAUGGGGGAUCGCAAGAUACUUUCAUUUUACACUUUCGGUAAAGCUGAUGAUUUGACACAAAUCAAAGGUUGAGAUGCAUAUCACUACUUCGUAAAUGGUAUUGCAUAUUACUAGACGAUAUCAAAAAAUAAAAAAGAAGUUAAAACUUACCCAUAGUGCUAAGAAAAGCAAAAAAGAAUCCCAUAAUAUAUAGGUUCUAUUCUUGACCUAAUUAUGAUCACAUUCUGUUUGAAGAAAUCAUGGAAAGCCUUACAAGAAGGAAAUAUACAUUCAUUCAUCUCCAAUAAAAGAAGAAUGGAUUGAGACAAGAAGUGUCACUCAAAAAUAAAUAGAAAAGUAAACAUGCCAGUGUCUUAUUUUAAAGCCCAACAUUCUUGGAG